rnacentral:rRNA from 1 species
GGAUAAUCUGCCCUCAGGUGAGGAAUAAUCCCGGGAAACUGGGGCUAAUGCCUCAUAGGAGACGGGUGCUGGAAUGCUCUGUCUCCCAAAGGUCCGCCGCCUGAGGAUGAGUCUGCGUCCGAUUAGGUAGUUGUUGGGGUAACGGCCCAACAAGCCUUUGAUCGGUACGGGUUGUGGGAGCAAGAGCCCGGAGAUGGAUUCUGAGACAUGAAUCCAGGCCCUACGGGGCGCAGCAGGCGCGAAAACUUUACAAUGCGAGCAAUCGUGAUAAGGAAACCCUGAGUGCCUGUCAAUGCAGGCUGUUCUGGUGUCUAACACACACCAGGAGAAAGGGCGGGGCAAGACCGGUGCCAGCCGCCGCGGUAAUACCGGCUGCUCGAGUGAUAGCCACUUUUACUGGGCUUAAAGCGUUCGUAGCUUGGUCGUUAAGUCUCUGGGGAAAUCUUUUGGCUCAACCAAAAGGCGUCUCAGGGAAACUGGCGAUCUUGGAACCGGGAGAGGUAAGACGUACUUCGGGGGUAGGAGUGAAAUCUUGUAAUCCCCGAGGGACGACCGAUGGCGAAGGCAUCUUACCAGAACGGCUUCGACAGUGAGGGACGAAAGCUGGGGGAGCAAACCGGAUUAGAUACCCGGGUAGUCCCAGCCGUAAACGAUGUGCGUUAGGUGUGUCAGUGACCACGAGUCGCUGAGGUGCCGAAGGGAAACCGUGAAACGCACCGCCUGGGAAGUACGGUCGCAAGGCUGAAACUUAA